AUGUGGGGAACUCAAGCAGAGACAAAAUACAGGAAAGCUAUAGGAGAAGAUCCUAUGGAUACCAAGGACCUGGCAGUUUUCUGGAGCACUGGAGGAUUCCACAGGAGCUGCCCCCAGAUGCCUUCUGCAUUGCCUGGACCUGGUGCUUCCAGCUGUCAGCUCUGGAGCUGAUAUAGCAGCCCUGUGUUUGAGCAGCUGCAGCCCCGGGAAAGUUGUCUUACAGAGUGAAAGGACACCCAGGCUUCUGGCAGAACUGCCAGGUGGCCUCACAGGAGGUGGGCACAAAGAUUUUAGCUCUACAACUCAGGAAUAGCAUGUUUUGCCGGAGCAACAGCUCAUGAAUUGCUGCGAUCGCUUUUCUUUUAAUGAAGGUUUGGCUUCUGUCAGCAGCCAGCAUAGAAGCCCUGAGGACACAGCUGGACAGUUUUCUGCAUAACACUCCUAUGAAACUGAAAACAGCCCGGGGUCUGAAAUAGUUCAGGGUCCUUUCCAAACCUGUGUUGCUGUUGUGGGCAAUGUUGCAAUAUAUAUUUAAUCUGGAAGCAUCUGUUUCACCUACCCUAAUUCUAAAAAAGCAGUUUGUAAGGUUUUUAUUUUAUUUUUAAUAUAAGCCUACAAUAAAAGACCAGACUCUUAAAAAUUAUAUAUUUUG
rnacentral:lncRNA from 1 species